rnacentral:rRNA from 1 species
CUGGCGGCGGCCUACACAUGCAAGUCGAGCGAGACCUUCGGGUCUAGCGGCGGACGGGUUAGUAACGCGUGGGAAUAUACCCUUCACUACGGAAUAGCCUCGGGAAACUGGGAGUAAUACCGUAUACGCCCUUUUGGGGAAAGAUUUAUCGGUGAAGGAUUAGCCCGCGUCUGAUUAGAUAGUUGGUGGGGUAAUGGCCUACCAAGUCUACGAUCAGUAGCUGGUUUGAGAGGAUGAUCAGCAACACUGGGACUGAGACACGGCCCAGACUCCUACGGGAGGCAGCAGUGGGGAAUCUUAGACAAUGGGCGCAAGCCUGAUCUAGCCAUGCCGCGUGAGUGACGAAGGCCUUAGGGUCGUAAAGCUCUUUCGCCAGAGAUGAUAAUGACAGUAUCUGGUAAAGAAACCCCGGCUAACUCCGUGCCAGCAGCCGCGGUAAUACGGAGGGGGUUAGCGUUGUUCGGAAUUACUGGGCGUAAAGCGCACGUAGGCGGAUUGGAAAGUAUGGGGUGAAAUCCCAGGGCUCAACCCUGGAACUGCCUUGUAAACUCCCAGUCUAGAGUUCGAGAGAGGUGAGUGGAAUUCCAAGUGUAGAGGUGAAAUUCGUAGAUAUUUGGAGGAACACCAGUGGCGAAGGCGGCUCACUGGCUCGAUACUGACGCUGAGGUGCGAAAGUGUGGGGAGCAAACAGGAUUAGAUACCCUGGUAGUCCACACCGUAAACGAUGAAUGCCAGACGUCAGGGGGCUUGCCCUUUGGUGUCACACCUAACGGAUUAAGCAUUCGGCCUGGGGAGUACGGUCGC